rnacentral:rRNA from 1 species
GACGAACGCUGGCGGCGUGCCUAAUACAUGCAAGUAGAACGCUGAAGGAGGAGCUUGCUUCUCUGGAUGAGUUGCGAACGGGUGAGUAACGCGUAGGUAACCUGCCUGGUAGCGGGGGAUAACUAUUGGAAACGAUAGCUAAUACCGCAUAAGAGUAGAUGUUGCAUGACAUUUGCUUAAAAGGUGCAAUUGCAUCACUACCAGAUGGACCUGCGUUGUAUUAGCUAGUUGGUGGGGUAACGGCUCACCAAGGCGACGAUACAUAGCCGACCUGAGAGGGUGAUCGGCCACACUGGGACUGAGACACGGCACAGACUCCUACGGGAGGCAGCAGUAGGGAAACUUCGGCAAUGGACGGAAGUCUGAGCGAGCAACGCCGCGUGAGUGAAGAAGGUUUUCGGAUCGUAAAGCUCUGUUGUAAGAGAAGAACGAGUGUGAGAGUGGAAAGUUCACACUGUGACGGUAUCUUACCAGAAAGGGACGGCUAACUACGUG